AAAGUCGUAACAAGGUUUCCGUAGGUGAACCUGCGGAAGGAUCAUUACAGGGUAUCAUGCCCUCACGGGUAGAUCUCCACCCUUGAAUAACAUACCUUUGUUGCUUUGGCAGGCCCCAUUUCCAGCGGCUUCGGCUGCUGAGUGCCUGCCAGAGGACCACAACUCUUGUUUUUAGUGAUGUCUGAGUACUAUAUAAUAGUUAAAACUUUCAACAACGGAUCUCUUGGUUCUG
rnacentral:misc_RNA from 1 species